rnacentral:rRNA from 1 species
UUUCAUUGGUAUUAAUAGUUAAGAUCUUUAAAUUAAAAGAAUUUGACGGUAAUUUAUCAUUUCAGAGGAGCCUGUCCUAUAAUCGAUAUUCCACGUUAAAUUUUACCUUAAUUUUUUGCUUAUAUACCUCUGUUGUUGGAGUGUUUUAUUAGAAUUUAUUCUCUUGAAUUAUUUUAUAAUUUAUAUCAGGUCAAGGUUUAGCUAUAUUAAGGUUGAGAUGGGCUACAUUUAAUUUUAUUAUUGGAUUUUUGUAUUUAUUUAUAUUCUUGAAAUUGGAUUUGACUGUAAUUUUUAUUAUAUAUUAUUUAUGAUACUUGUUCUAGAUUAAG